UAAAUAUAUGUUUUGACAGGUGCCGCGAGGUUAAAAGGGAAUCAGGUGAAAGCCCUGAACGGUCCCGCCACUGUAAUCGGGGAUAAACUGCUAUACCACUGAGAAAUCGGGAAGGUGCAGGGAAUAUGAUCCGAGAGUCAGGAAACCUGCCUGUUGAUGAAGUACAAG
rnacentral:ncRNA from 2 species